GAGCCCGUGGCUCAAUGGUAGAGCGUUCGACUCAAAUACUAAAGGUCGCGGGUUCGAAUCCCAGGGUUA
rnacentral:tRNA from 1 species